CUCAUGGCCCUGCACAGUGACACGGUCUCCCAGUCAGGCUGAGGCGUCCCCCAGGAUGCACCUGCGCGCAUCGGGGGUCAGGGCGCAUGCUCAGACACCACACCGGUUGUCUAUCAAAGUGGGCCCCGCCCCCGUCCCUCUAAAAGGAGGCAAUGGCGGGAGAGCGCGCGUUUUCCAGCGAGGACUGGCUCACGCGCUCUCUGGUCGGCGCCGGCAGCUGAGAUCCUGGGGCAGAGGGAGGCGUGUGAGCCUGCGUUUAGCUUCCGGGCUCCAUGGCUGCCCAGCAGUGUCCCCUGGGUGAGUGGCCCAGGUCUUGGUUUGCUUGGUGUUGUCCCUGCUGUGUGGAGUGGUUGUGCGAAUCAUGAUACCACCGUGACUUCUGGUAUGGUUCUGCCCAGAGUGUGAAGCUGGUGUGGGAAGAUGGAGAUGUCUCUGCUUCAGUUCCAUGUUAAUAUGCACAAAGUACUACAGUUUUAUUGAAGGUGUCUCCAAUACUGUCUUCUGCUACCUACAGAGUGUGAUGGCUGCAGCCGUCUCAGGGUGAAAGAGAAGGCAGGUGGCAGGGGCAGGAGGGUGGGAGGGGUAAAUGGGAGACCUGAUAGCUGAGGCCGUCAGUGGCAGACACCAUUGGACUCAGUCCCUGGAGACCCAGAUGCCCGGGGCAGAGGGGUGGGAUCCGAGGCCCAGUUUCCACCAAGAGUUUACGGCCAAUUCUCCCUCUUGAUGGGAUCACUCAUAUGGUGAUCUGUGGACAAGGUCAAAAGUGACCACACUGCAAAGAACGUAGAGGUACACAGGACCCAGGAAACGCUUCCUGCUGCACACCUGAAACUCCCGCUGCCCGGCCUGUCACACCGUGUGUCCUGUCACACCCCGUCCACACGUCUGUGUCCUCCUGUCACGCCCCGUCCACACGUCUGUGUCCUCCUGUCACGCCCCGUCCACACGUCUGUGUCCUCCUGUCACACCCCGUCCAUACGUCUGUGUCCUCCUGUCACACCCCGUCCACACGUCUUUGUAUUUCCUGUCACACCAUGUCCUCUCGUUUUUUUCAACCCCCAACCCAUUCGUUUGUUUUGUCCUCCUGCCAC
rnacentral:lncRNA from 1 species